ensembl:lncRNA
GCUAUGCUUCUUUUCAGUGAGAAGCUCAUUUCAGCUAUGUUGGUUCUCCUUGAGGUUGUGCUCCUGAAUGCUGUUGUGGUACGCAGCACUGAAUGUGCACUUUUCUGCUGGAAACGAGCAGACAUGGAAGGGGACAAGGGGGAAGUCUGUCCGCUCAUGUCUUCAUUUGCCAGCCUCUGUAUGUCCAUACUUCACACCUCCAGGACUCGGGGACUUAUGUGCCCCUUUCCCAGUGAAGACACAGCAGCUCUGCUCUGUCUCCUCUACUGCGAAUUAGGAGCAUGUCUGCUCACCCUGCUGGCUUAUCUCUUCAUCGAGCUGAAAUGGAUGCUUAUGCUGCCAGAUAUCUACAUGAGGAACUACAUCACUUUUUUUCCUCUUAUUUGAAGAGAGAAGUGAAAUACAGUACACUGCUCAGUGCUCUAUCUGUUAGACAAUAGCAUAUGGGUUUCAUGAAGAGCGAUUGUAGAAAUUCAAAGGCUGUAUGCCAGAUAGUGCCUACCAAUCCCAACAGCUCCUUCUCUGUUAUUAAAAAAGAUUAAGGCAUUGGCCCAAGACUGGAAAUAAUGCUUAAAACUCAGGCAGCUCAGUGAUGCCUGGGUCCCUUUGAUUAUUUUCACUCCAGUGACAGUUACAUCAAUAUCCUUGUGCUGCAAAACCCUGGUUGUUAGAAGUCUGAGAAGAAUAGUAAAGGUACAAUGCAACUCAGCUCAACCUCUGUUAAAUAAACACUGAAAGAGUACAAAAGGAUGUUGAAAGAAAAGCCUAUUUUGAAGUCUGUUUGGGACUAGCAGUCAUUCAGGAUUAAAAAAAAAAACACUCAACCAUAUAUAAGAAUUCACUGCAUAACUUUCUUGUUCAANUUUUUCUAAGCAUACAAUGUAGUUAUGUAGUUGAAUACAACAUAGAGUAAAAGCAAAACUACUGCUCUCCAGUUCUGUUUGGAAUAAGUAAUAAGCAUAACAGUUCCAUUCAUGCCUCUGACAAUCUGGAUAAAAAGAGAACCUCAUACCUGCUCUUGUGGCCACUUCUGUCUGUCCUCUGGAGUUCUUGAUUUUGCUUUAAAACCUCUAGGCACAUCUCCACCGUGCUUAGAGGCAGAUGGGAUAUUCAGUGAUUUUGGCCUCCCUUCAUGCCUGUUAGCACUGUGAACAGCUUCUCCCUUUGAACAAGUCUCUUUAUAGUCAUGUGCCAUGUUUUCAGUCCCAGUGUGCUCUGGACUCAUCUCUGUUGUACUAUUUAUGCUGCUCAUGCUCAUACUCAUUUUGAUUUCUGCUACAAUCUGGUCAAUGUCCUCUUCCUGCUCUUCUAGCUCUGCAUCCUCUUUUCUAGAAUGAUAUGGCGAUAUCCCCUGUGAAUUUCCAUUAGCCUCUGCUGGGUAAUAGUCCGGGUAGCCACCUUCACUUUGACAAUAUUGUAUAUUCUCAUCUUGGUCUUGUAUCUCCAAAGAUGAUGCUUCAUCCUCUAAAACCUGAAUGCCGUUAUCUUGACCUUCCUGCCACUCCUGCCUGUCUGUCACCUCAUUUUCAUCCUGGUUCUGAAUUUGACCUUCGGACCACUCUUCUACAGCUUCCUGACAUUCAUCUGUUUCAACAUGGUGUUCCUCAUUGGCAGCAUAUUCUUCUCCAUUGCAGUCCAUUCCUUCCAGGUAACUGUCAUCCUCUGGACAGUAUCUAAUGUAGUAUGUGAUCCCUUCCUCUUCUUCUGGCAAGCCUUCAUCAUAGUCCUCCUCCUCAGAGGUGUUAUUCACAUAGUCAGAGCUGGAGUCACCGUCUCCACUAUGAUCGUUGCACUCAUGUUCCAAGGGUGUAGGACUGCCUUGUCUGAUGGUUGCUAGUUCUGCCUCCUUUGCUGGAUAAUCUUCAAUAGGAAGAUCACUUUCCUCAUUUUCAGGCUCCCUGUUGUGAGAUGAAGUUGGGCAAGCUCUUGCUCUGUGAUCCAGCAUGCUGGCUGUAGUGCUCUGAUGUUUCCUGUUUGCCAUAGCCAACUCCUUAUACGACAGUCAUUUCUAAGCAAUUACUGUAGGGAAGAUGGAAAAACACAUUCAAGAAAGGUCAUCAUCAGAGAUCAGUGAUGCUAAUAAGAGACAGCAAGUGAUGGAUUAAAAUGGUAGAAAGAAUGUGUUUAUAGGUAUUUAAAUUAGAUUCACAGACACCUAAC